UAUUGGAAUAAGUCGUUUCCUAAAUAAGCAAUUUUCACCAGAGGUGGACGGAUUCGAAAGAACGGAAGGAAAUGUAAUGUAUGAGAAACAUGAACGCCAGUGACAAAUGAAGAUAACAAGAUGGCAGUAAGCGCUAUUGAAGCGCUUCUAAGUGCUAUUGAAGAUCCUUAAAAAAGCACUAGGAAGCUCAUUCGAGAGUUUCCUCAUAGUGCAUCAUCAAUUUCAGAGUUUGCAUAUCAGCGUAUCAGAGACAACAUGUGCCUUACACUUACCAUGAAUUAAAGUAAAAUUGCGAACUGCCAACUGCCAUCUGGCUAAUCGAUCUGACUAAGGAUUAAGGACCAGAUAACUGCAAAGCAAAGAGUGUCUCGGUCGUGGAGAAGAUUGGUUUUUGUUCUGUUUUACUUCUACCUACAAAGUACGGCUCGUAAUUGUCCCCCCCUCCCCUACCCUCCAAACCGUUACGGGUGCUGCUCUUGAAGAUGAGAGCCAUGGAUCAAGGAGUAUUUCAGAGCCAAACUAAAAAAAGCUUUUAAAAAUGUGUGUAGAAUCUUCCCAAUUAGUUUCCUGAUUUUCCUUGUCGUCACUGUAAUGUCCUGUGGAGGAGAUCGGUAGUAUGGGUUACGCAAUUAUAUCUUACAGUUACAAAUGUUAAUUUGUAUUGCGUAAUUAUAUAAUUAGAUUAAUUAUGAUGAUCGCACUGAAUCGUCGAUUUCAAGUGAGAGUGCAAAGGUGGAAACACCGCAUUG